rnacentral:rRNA from 1 species
UACGUAGGGCGCAAGCGUUGUCCGGAAUUAUUGGGCGUAAAGAGCUCGUAGGCGGUGUGUCGCGUCGGCCGUGAAAACCUGCAGCUUAACUGUGGGCUUGCGGUCGAUACGGGCAUCACUGGAGUUCGGCAGGGGAGACUGGAAUUCCUGGUGUAGCGGUGAAAUGCGCAGAUAUCAGGAGGAACACCGGUGGCGAAGGCGGGUCUCUGGGCCGAUACUGACGCUGAGGAGCGAAAGCGUGGGGAGCGAACAGG